UGCGUAGACGGUUAGAUAAGUCGGGUGUGAAAGCCCCGGGCUCAACCUGGGAAUUGCAUUCGAGACUGUUUAGCUAGGGUGCGGAAGAGGGAAGCGGAAUUUCAGGUGUAGCGGUGAAAUGCGUAGAUAUCUGAAGGAACACCAGUGGCGAAAGCGGCUUCCUGGUCCAGCACCGACGUUCAGGCACGAAAGCGUGGGGAGCAAACAGGAUUAGAUACCCUGGUAGUCCACGCCAUAAACGAUGAGAACUAGACGUUGAGAGGGUAAGCCUCCCAGUGUCGUAGCUAACGCGCUAAGUUCUCCGCCUGGGGAGUACGGCCGCAAGGUUGAA
rnacentral:rRNA from 1 species